rfam:Ornithorhynchus anatinus chromosome X1, whole genome shotgun sequence.
UCCCCCUCAAGGUCGCACCUGGAGAGUUUCCAGUGUUCUUCCAGUCUCGACUAUGGGAGGGAGAGUCAAGCAGAGACAUACCUUUCCGUUUCUAGCUUGGGCAAUGGCUAGCAAGUGGAAGACAAUCUGCUAUAAGU